rnacentral:rRNA from 1 species
UACGUAGGGGGCGAGCGUUGUCCGGAUUUAUUGGGCGUAAAGAGCUCGUAGGCGGCUUGGCAAGUCGGGUGUGAAAGCCCGAGGCUCAACCUCGGAACUGCCUUCGAUACUGCGGGUCUCGAGUCCGGGAGAGGUGAGUGGAAUUCCUAGUGUAGAGGUGAAAUUCGUAGAUAUUAGGAAGAACACCAGUGGCGAAGGCGGCUCACUGGCCCGGUACUGACGCUGAGGCGCGAAAGCGUGGGGAGCAAACAGG